rnacentral:rRNA from 1 species
UAUGGUUGCCAGCCGCCGCGGUAAUACGUAGGGAGCGAGCGUUGUCCGGAAUGACUGGGUGUAAAGGGAGCGUAGGCGGGAUGGCAAGUCAGAUGUGAAACCUGAGGGCUCAACCUUCAGACUGCAUUUGAAACUGCUGUUCUUGAGUGAAGUAGAGGUAAGCGGAAUUCCUGGUGUAGCGGUGAAAUGCGUAGAGAUCAGGAGGAACAUCGGUGGCGAAGGCGGCUUACUGGGCUUUUACUGACGCUGAGGCUCGAAAGCGUGGGGAGCAAACAGG